rnacentral:misc_RNA from 1 species
GAUGAAGAACGUAGCGAAAUGCGAUACGUAGUGUGAAUUGCAGAUUUCAGUGAAUCAUCGAAUCUUUGAACGCACAUUGCACCUCUCGGUAUUCCGGGAGGUAUGCCUGUUCGAGCGUCAUUUGUACCAUCAAGCUCUGCUUGGUGUUGGGUGUUUGUUCCGCCUCUGUGUGUGAACUCGCCUCAAAACAAUUGGCAGCCGGCGUACUUGUUUCGGAGCGCAGCACAUUUUGCGAUCCAGAUCAACGUACAGCGGCAUCCAAGAAGCCUUAUUUAACGCUCUUGACCUCGGAUCAGGUAGGGAUACCCGCUGAACUUAAGCAUAUCAAUAAGCGGAGGA